CUCGGUCUCCCCCUCGCGGGGUGGGGGGAGCUCGGUGGCUUGGCCUUUUUCACUUUCACUAAAGAGCCCGCCCCACCAGCCGCGCUCGCCCAAGGCGGGCAGCCCUCGCGGCCACCGUACCUCUACUUCCGCCUGCCGGCCAAGCACAGGACUGAGACCCGAGGACGCGGUGCGUCUGAAAGCAGUCGCCGGCCUGGCUAGCCCGCACUGUGGGAGGAACCAAAGGACGGGCGGGGCCAGAACGUGGAGCUGGGCUGCGGUGCAAGGGCGGGGCUGCUGUGUUACCCUGCGAGAACAAAGCAGGGACAGCCAGAGCACCAGCUGCCUGGAUUUCCUGCCUCCAGAAAUCCUUUCCUGACUUCUAAACUUGACAGUUCUGGAGUUGGAUGAUCGGAAGUAGUCCAGGAAUUCCCUUGAGAGUAAAACAUAAGGCUUGCUUGAUUGGCUGGGUAUAGGAAACCAGAAUCUAGCUUCUUAAGUCUUGUGUGCUCAUCUUCCCUUCACCUGAUGGGGUCAGUGUUCCCCAAGUUUGUUACUACAGCCUUUAUAGUUACCCUGGUGUUGAGCAGGGCCUGUUGCCACCUCGCCAAGCCCACUGGCGAUCGUACUGAUGUUGAUGCUGCCCGCC